AGUGGGUGUUUUUGCUGGAGACUGGCUGCAGCUUCCCAGGGAGCCGCCCCGGACCGCCCCUCCGUCCAGCCUCUUCCUUCGGACCCUUAGGAGAUCCACAGUAAGAAGGGCCUCCUCCACUUCCCUCCAUCCCAGAGAGCAAGCGGAACCUGCCAAGUGCUCGUAAAGUUUCUUCAGGCAGGAGCCAUUACAGCAGAAUGGAUCCCAAGGAAGAAAAAGUGAAAAUAAUUACAGAGGACUCACUCGCUGGAGACCACAGAGGCAGAAGGAGAUAGUAAGCUGUUUCCAAGAGCAAUUCAAGAAGCCUGAAGGAACACCAGAUAAAACCACAUCCAAACACCAGAUAAGACCACAUCAAAACUCCAGAUAAAACCACAUCAUGCUACAUUUGCUUAUGGCUUAUUCACUCAUGCAGCAAAUAUGUACUGUUCCUCUGGUCCCUGGGGAUGCAGCGGUGAAUAAAACCCUGUGCCCUCAUGGAGUUUACAUUCUGUGUAACUUGAAGUCCUACUGGGCUGCUCUUCAUUGAUGAAGGAUCAAAUCAUGAUUGAGAAGCCAAAAAGAACCUAGACUUCCCAUAAGUCCAUUGUAAGCCAAUAAGAACUUAGACUUGUCUUGCCCUGGCCGGUGCUGCUCAGAGGUAAGAGCAUUGGCCUGCACACUGAAGGGUUACAGUUCGCUCCCCACGUGUAGGAAGGAGCUGGAGGCAACCAGUCAAUGUGGUUUUUUACAUCAAUGUUUCUCUCUCUUUCUCUCUCACCUGUUUCCUCCCUCACUUCCACUCUCUAAUAAAGCAAUGGGAAAAUAUAGGCUCAGGUGACAAUUAACAAAAAAACUUAGGCUUAUUUUAAGGACCAUGCUUGCACACCUCAAUGAUAUCAGCAUUGUGUAUCUAAGUUGGUGACUUUUUGAGCUAAGAGCGCUACCUACCUGGUGGGCACCUGAAGCACAAAGUCUAAGUGCACCCAGAGUAUGAGUCAGAGAAGAGAGAUCCGUUGUGUGGACUAAGGAAAAGCCGGCACCACACCCAUCCCCUGGUUGGGACCUCUGACCUCUUCUAUAAUCAAGUUCCUGUCUUCUCUACCCCAAACAGCCAAGGGCACUGAUGUGUAACUGGAACCCAGCCCAGCAACCUCAUGGCAUUCCUUUGAACUCUUC